rnacentral:rRNA from 1 species
GACGUACCACCCAAACGUUAUUCGGAAUCACUGGGCUUACAGAGUCCGUAGGCGGCUCGGAAAGUUGGGCGUGAAAUACCUCAGCUCAACUGAGGAAUUGCGCUCAAAACUACCGAGCUUGAGGGAGACAGAGGUGAGCGGAACUGAUGGUGGAGCGGUGAAAUGCGUUGAUAUCAUCAGGAACACCGGUGGCGAAGGCGGCUCACUGGGUCUUUUCUGACGCUGAGGGACGAAAGCUAGGGUAGCGAACGGG